rnacentral:lncRNA from 1 species
GGGAGGAGCAGCCAUGCUUCCAUGGUGAUUGAUCUCUUCGCUUUUGCUUCGUUCUGCUCCGUCUCGUCAGUUCAUCUUAGCCCUGAUCUGCUUCAGAUUUUCAGUGAACCGGUGGCAGAUACUGCUAGUUGGAUAAAGGAAACGACGACAACAACACGUCAACAAGCAUGGCUUCGUUUAUUUUAUUUAUUGUCAUGCGAUCGGUUAGCGAUCCGAUGCAUCUGAAAGCAAGGGGUAGCCGUAGUGUAGCCGUAGUGUUUGAUUUUCAAGAUGCAAAAUGGACCAUGCUACCAUUCAGAUUUUAGCGUCCCUAGACGCGUGAUGCACGCCUAAAGUGAGGGCGGCUCCAACGUGAGAUCUACUGUAUUAAGGCUCUGUUUGAACCAUCCAGAUUGUAUAAUCCAGCUUUUAUAAUCUAUUUUGUUUCCAA